rnacentral:lncRNA from 1 species
GGAGCACAAAAAUGGUGAGAUAAAGCCAAAGAGUAGGAGAAGGUGGGGUCUUAUUUCCAGGUCAACAAAGGAUUCAGAUGAUUGGGCUGACUUGGAUGACUUGGAUUUCAGUCCAUCCCUCAGCAGGAUUGACCUGAAAAACAAGAAAAGACAGAGUGAUGACACUCUCUGCAGGUUUGAGAGUGUUUUGGACCUGAAGCCCUCUGAGCCUGUGGGCACAGGAAACAGUGCCCCCACCCAGACGUCAUAUCAGCGGCGAGACACGCCCACCCUGAGAUCUGCAGCCAAGCAGCACUAUUUGAAGCACUCUCGAUACUUGCCUGGUAAUAUAAAUGACUUGGCUUUACUUUGAU